rnacentral:rRNA from 1 species
GACGAACGCUGGCGGCGUGCUUAACACAUGCAAGUCGAACGGAAAGGCCUGCUUUUGUGGGGUGCUCGAGUGGCGAACGGGUGAGUAACACGUGAGUAACCUGCCCUUGACUUUGGGAUAACUUCAGGAAACUGGGGCUAAUACCGGAUAGGAGCUCCUGCUGCAUGGUGGGGGUUGGAAAGUUUCGGCGGUUGGGGAUGGACUCGCGGCUUAUCAGCUUGUUGGUGGGGUAGUGGCUUACCAAGGCUUUGACGGGUAGCCGGCCUGAGAGGGUGACCGGCCACAUUGGGACUGAGAUACGGCCCAGACUCCAACGGGAGGCAGAAGUGGGGAAUAUUGCACAAUGGGCGGAAGCCUGAUGCAGCAACGCCGCGUGCGGGAUGACGGCCUUCGGGUUGUAAGCCGCUUUCGCCUGUGACGAAGCGUGAGUGACGGUAAUGGGUAAAGAAGCACCGGCUAACUACGUG